CGAUGGACUUCAGCCAAUUUUAUCUUCACUUAUAAGUAAAAGGAAAAAGGGGAUUAAGGGAUUUUGGGGCUCCAUCUUGCAUCAAGUUGAAGACAAAGAAACACAAAAACAAAUAAGGACCUUGGGGAUGAGAAAACGCAACAGCAGUUGCGUCAAAAUAAAUUUGAUUAUCAGCUGGAGAAUAAAAUCAAGAAGGAAGCCAAAAAAAGGGGUUUGAUUGGGGAUUCUUUCGGGUUUAAGUUUCAGAAUCUGAAAAGCAGCUGUUGUAGCAUUAGACAUUGUAGCACUAUCAAUGGAUGGCGAUGUUGAUGUGCUAGGACCUCCAAUAUUCUCAAUCCAGAAAGGCUGCGUGUGGAUGAUGUUGAAGGUACAGAUAAAGAGCUACUAUGUAGACUAUUAUGGAGAUAAGAGGGCUGGAACUGAUAGGACGGUGGGGCAUGAAAAAUACAUUUGGUAGUGAAAUAGUUUUCCUUGGAGGAGCAAGAAUAUUUAUAGUAGCUGGUUGAAAAGUUGUGGUGGUGGUGGUGGUAUAUAUUAACCUACGGGAAGAUUAUCAGGUCCUUUCUUACCUUUAUUACAUUGUCCAUUACCAUGACCUUUUGAUGCCA